CACAUCCUACCUCCCAUCCACUUCUCCUCCCCCGCCCCCACCCGCGACGCCCUACCACCAGCCGCCCUUGAUUCGGCGAGAUGGAAAUCCAACGCGCGCCACAUGCCCUCCCCGACCGCUCUUCAACUUCGGCGCGGGUCGAAGAGCACCAGCCGCCACCCGAUGGAGGCGGAGGUGGCCUCCCCCAAUGCACCCCUGUCUGGGGGCUUGCUGCGCCGCCGCUGGAUGUCUCUUCUAGUGGAUCUCCGUGUCUUGACCGACCUCCCUUCCUGGUGCAGUCCAUGCUCCGGGGCGGCCAUCUGGGCGUGAGCACCUCGGGCAUGGCCGGCGCCGGAUUCCGCCAUGCCUUGCUCCUGCAGCAUUCUGUACAGUUCAUUCCGUGGGGGUGUCGCGAUGCAGUAUGCAUCGUUAUGGCGAUGUGGCUCGAUGGUAGUGCUCGGUGCGGUUCGGCAGCCUGUCAAGUUUUUUGUUUGUUCUUUGUCUUUGAAAUUGAUUUUGUGUUCAUGUGCUGCAGAGCAGCACCUACACUUCCCUCAAUUUCUUUUCAUGUGCAGUUUGCUUUGAAAACAGAGAAGGGCUCUCGUGAGGCCUUCGCGGAUGAGAUGCUCCCGACCUUGCCUCUUCCGAUCAUUUCCAUCCCCUAAAUCCGGUUGUGCACGCAGGAUGCAGCUCACAACAGGAUCAAGGAUCCCCUUCCUUCACUUGGGACAGGAGCACCGCACCUUCGUGCUAUUCGGCGGACCCCGUUUGUGGGUUGCAGCUUGCUUCUGGUGCCGCUGCAGUUUGCGGUUCUGUACGCAUGCAGUGCAGUAGGCGCAUCUCCAUGGCACUUCAGCCACGCCGUGAAAAUCCUCGCCGGAUCCGAUGAACCACCACCGGAUUCGUGGAGAUCUUCCCGCCACGACGAGUUUCUACCCCCACAUCAGGCGCCUGGAUCAUGGCGCCCAUCCCACACCCCGGGCGGUCGUCCCCCCUGCAUCCCUCCCCGCGCACCCUGUGGUCUGCUCCGUUAAGCCACUGGUGCACCGUGCGCGGCACCGUGUAGUCCACUGUGUGGGUGCAUGCAGCACGCCCACCCUGCACCCCUGGGGCCGUGCAGUCCACCAAGUGCAAAAGCAGCUUCCUGCGACGCCAUGGAGCUCCCUUUUCUUAGCAAGGUCCAUGGGGAGAGUACCUUUAUGCAGGGGCAGUGCCAUGGAAGGCUUGAGCUCUUCCGCUCCUCAACAAGCAGCAGCAGCAGCAUGACAUUGAGGUCUUCCCCCAUGGAAGGUCAUCGACGGAGCAGGCCGAGCGAUGGUGGUGGCCGAAUGAUGCUGACAGGAUGGAGGCUGCUACUGUGUUGUAUGGUAUGAAUCCCUCACACCUUGAUCUCUUCUUGGCUGCUACUGCACCAAGAUCCUCUGCAUGCGGGUGUUGUGGUUGUUCAGCUCGGAGAUGCUCGCCAUGUGGUUCAGGGUUCGUGCGCGUGCAGUCCGACGAGCGUCAUCUCUUCCCCUCUGGUCGGUCGACCAUGGCCGUGCAGCUCGGAGACGCUCGCCAUGCGGUUCGGAGCUCAUGCGCGUGCAGUCUAGCAAUUGCCAUCUCUUCCCCCUGCAGUUCGUCGACCAUGCCAUGCAACUCAAAUGCAGUUCUGCUGGUGUAUGUGUGUGGCUGUAAAACAACGAAUGGAUGUAUGUGUGUCUAUGAGCAUCGACGAAGGCGCAAAACAAAAUGUGCGCGUGUAGUUUGGUUAGCUCUGUCGUGCAGUACUUUGUUUUUGUUU